GAGACUGGCAGCUGAGAGAUACCAAAAGGAAGAAAAAAGAAAACCAUUGCUCUUGAUAUUGCUAAUGCCGGGGGAGGUAAGCUAACGAGAAAGUAGGGAAAAGGAAGGUUUUAGAGUUCACCUCCACUCCUUCCCCUGGCUAACACUCUUUACACUCUUCUGCCUUCCCUUGAGAUAAUUAAAAUAGACUGUACACCGGCCCUAGUCGGUGCCCAUUCCCCCUAACUCUUCACUCAACUACGUGUGUAGUCCGAGGGAGUGAGGACCCCGGGUCCAAGAGCUCAAUCCCGGCCCCGCCCCGUCGGCCCAGGCCCCGGGGCUGGGAGGAGAGGAUGCCUUCGGAGGCGCAGAAUCCGAAAAGAUGUGGUUGGAGCUGGAAGCUGUUAUCCUCAGCAAACUAAUGCAGGAGGAGAAAACCAAAUACUGCAAGUUCUCACUUAUAAGUGGGAACUGAAUGAUGAGAACAUUUGGACAUGGUAAGGGGAGGACAACAUGCAGUGGGGCCUGUUGGGGAGUAUGGCAGGAGGGAAAGCAUCAGGAAAUUCACUAAUAGAUGCUGGGCUUAAUAACUUGAUGAUGGGAUGAUCUGUGCAGCAAACCACCAUGGCACAUGUUUACUAAUGUAACAAACCUGCACAUUCAGCACAUGUACCCCUGAACUUAAAAUAAAGCAAAAUAAAAAUAAAAA
rnacentral:lncRNA from 1 species